CCCGACUCCUACGGGAGGCAGCAGUGCGGAAUAUUGGUCACUGGGCGCGAGCCUGCCCCAGCCAAGUCGCUUGAAGGAUUACUGCCCUACGGGUUUUCCCCUUCUUUUAUCCCUGAAUAAAGUGCGGCACGUGUGCCUUUUUGUAUGUACUUUCUUAAUAAGGCUCUGCUAACUCCGUUCCCUCAGCCGCGUUCCUACGGAGGAUCCGCUCUUUAUCCGGAGUUAUUGGGUUUAAAGGGAGCGUAGAUGGGUUGGUAAGUCAGUGGGGAAAGUUUGCGGCGAAACCGUAAAAUUGCAAUUGAUACUGGCAGCCUUGAGUCCAGUUGAGGGAGGCGGAAUUCGUGGUGUAGCGGUGAAAUGCUUAGAUAGCACGAAGACCUCCGAUUGCGAAGGCAGCCUACUAAACUGCCACUGACAUUGAUGCUCGAAAGUGUGGGUAGCAAACAGGAUUAGAUACCCGUGUAAC
rnacentral:rRNA from 1 species